rnacentral:misc_RNA from 1 species
UUUCCGUAGGUGAACCUGCGGAAGGAUCAUUAAUGAGUUGUCAUGGGGUUCGAUGCUGGCAGCCAAUUUUUGGAUGCAUGUGCUUGCCCUAACAAUCAUCUUCCAAACACCUGUGCACAUUUUUGAGGGAGUCUUGAGUUGGUUGCCGCUCUUGGGUGAUUUUCUCACAUUCCCUUAAAUCAUUAUACGCUAUUAACAAUGUUGAACGUGCUCUGUGCCGCAAGGCUAUUAAUAUGAUACAACUUUUAACAACGGAUCUCUUGGCUCUC